UACGAAGGGUGCAAGCGUUACUCGGAAUUACUGGGCGUAAAGCGUGCGUAGGUGGUUUUUUAAGUCCGUUGUGAAAGCCCUGGGCUCAACCUGGGAAUGGCAGUGGAUACUGGAAAGCUAGAGUGCGGUAGAGGUUAGUGGAAUUCCCGGUGUAGCAGUGAAAUGCGUAGAGAUCGGGAGGAACACCAGUGGCGAAGGCGGCUACCUGGACCAGCACUGACACUGAUGCACGAAAGCGUGGGGAGCAAACAGG
rnacentral:rRNA from 1 species